CUUUAGCGGAGUAGGAGCAGAGAAGUGCGUUUGGAAGACCUGUCUCAUUGCCACAUCGAUGGAUUACACGAGCAGUUGUGUGGCACUGGGGGGCACUGACGCCUGGCUAGAAGCACUCUGCGCUGGAUCUGUCUGUCUGAGGAUGGGCUGUGUGUCAGGGCUGCAGUGGAGAGAAUGGACAAGGAAAGAGGAGAGAGGAGAGAGGAGAGAGGAGGGUUCAGAGCCAGCUGGCUGGCCAGCUGCCCGGGAGGCAGGCUGUCUUGCUGUCAGAUGGUCAGAGCUGCUCUGCUAUCGGAUCUCAGCUGCGCAGUCUGGAAACAGAGACGGUCACCAGAAACAAGACUUAUGAGGAUAAUGAAGAGCUGCAGUGCGAGCUAUCUGGCUUAGGAACACCGCAGUACUGCCAGUACUAUCGACCCACACU